ensembl:snoRNA LOC120101353 small nucleolar RNA SNORA17
UUUCAUACAUAUGCUGUAUCUAUGUCAUAUGUGCAUCAGUCAGGAAGGAAAAGCUAUGUCUGUACUCAGUGUGCUGAUCUAUGAACAUUUGAAUUAUUAGUACUAUAACACA